rnacentral:rRNA from 1 species
UUAGCAUUUUAUGUUUGUUGUCGUUACGUGCACUUUCAUCCUCAGUCAGUGUAAUUAUAUCAACUGGUGUGGCAGCAGUCACAAUUACCAACACUUUGUUUGCACAAGUGUACAACUUUUUAUUUAUCCCUUCGUUAAACUGCCCUUCUAAAUGGACAGUAAACAUUUGGCCACUUGAGAUGCAUUUUGCACAGUGAGGUGAUGCCAUAUCCGGUGGUAUAUUCAGAGUUAAGUGUUGUUUUCUGGUUACAAAAAAGAAACAUUUUGGAAACAUGAAUGACGGCCAUUUCGUUUUGAAAAGUAUCCCUUUAAACAUUUCCGCUUUUUGUAUAUUAUCAGAUGUGUAACGUUUUUUCAAAAUUUUCAGCUCCGCAAUAAGUUUCAUAAAAAUAGGAGCAGUUAAAGGACGCUCCGUGGAAGCUUUUUCCAAUUUUUGCCAUUCCAAAUCUCUUGUUUGCUUUUUAAGCAAUACAGAAAGUAAAAGAAAAAGAAUCCAAACCGAAUUGUAAAAUGUGUCUAUGCUGAAUAAUGAAUCUGCAUCAAUUCGAAAACACUUCAUUUUUAUACUGCUCAAGUUUUUCAUCACCAGAUGUAGUUUAGAGUAACUCGGCAGCAUCUUUCGGGAAACCAAAGUGUUUAGUGUUUCGGUUCCGGGGGAAGUGUUGUUGCAAAGCUGAAACUUAAAGGAAUUGACGGAAGGGCACCACCAGGAGUGGAGCCUGCGGCUUAAUUUGACACAACACGGGAAAACUCACCCGGCCCGGACACUGGAAGGAUUGACAGAUUGACAGCUCUUUCUUGAUUCAGUGGGUAGUGGUGCAUGGCCGUUCUUAGUUGGUGGAGCGAUUUGUCUGGUUAAUUCCGAUAACGAACGAGACUCUACCCUAUUAAAUAGUGACAGUAUUGUAUUUUUUGUGCUGAUCCCUUCUUAGAGGGACCGGCAAAUUGAAAGCUGCACGAAAAAGAGCAAUAACAGGUCUGUGAUGCCCUUCGAUGUCCGGGGCUGCACGCGCGCUACAAUGAAAGCGUCAACGUGAGUUACGUCCUUACCUGAAAAGGUUUGGCAAUCGAAUGAAACGUUUUCUUGAAUGGAAUAGGGAAUUGCAAUUGUUUCCCUUGAACGAGGAAUUCCCAGUAAGCGUGAGUCAUUAGCUCGCGUUGAUUACGUCCCUGCCCUUUGUACACACCGCCCGUCGCUACUACCGAUUGGAUUAUUUAGUGAGGUGUUUUGACUGGCGCCAGUAGUCGGAUGUAUUCGGCUUCGCGCCGGGAAAUUUCCCAAACCAAAUCAUCUAGAGGAAGUAAAAGUCGUAACAAGGUUUCCGUAGGUGAACCUGCGGAAG